rnacentral:rRNA from 1 species
UACAGAGGUCCCAAGCGUUCGGAUUCACUGGGCGUAAAGGGUGCGUAGGUGGUGAGGUAAGUCGGAUGUGAAAGCUCGGAGCUCAACUCCGAAAUGGCAUUGGAAACUACCUUGCUCGAGGGUUGGAGGGGGGACUGGAAUGCUUGGUGUAGCAGUGAAAUGCGUAGAUAUCAAGCGGAACACCAGUGGCGAAGGCGAGUCCCUGGACAACUACUGACACUGAGGCACGAAAGCUAGGGGAGCAAACAGG